rnacentral:tRNA from 1 species
GGGGAUUUAGCUCAGUGGCAUAAGCACCUGCCUUACAAGCAGGCGGUCAUGAUGAGUUCAAUCCCCG